AGAUGGAUUAGUGGCGCACGGGUGAGUAACGCAUAGAUAACAUACCCUUUAGUCUAGGAUAGCCACUGGAAACGGUGAUUAAUACUGGAUACUCCUUACGAGGGAAAGAAUUUCGCUAAAGGAUUGGUCUAUGUCCUAUCAGCUUGUUGGUGAGGUAAUGGCUUACCAAGGCUAUGACGGGUAUCCGGCCUGAGAGGGUGAACGGACACACUGGAACUGAGACACGGUCCAGACUCCUACGGGAGGCAGCAGUAGGGAAUAUUGCUCAAUGGGGGAAACCCUGAAGCAGCAACGCCGCGUGGAGGAUGAAGGUCUUAGGAUUGUAAACUCCUUUUGUUAGAGAAGAUA
rnacentral:rRNA from 1 species